CUCUCUCAUUUUUUUUCCUUUCAUUCCCGAAGAACCCCCAUUCCCGCUUCCUCCGGCGUCAGUCCUCGGUGGCGAUCACCUCCUCCGACGACACUAUCUCGGCAAAUCGGAUUUUCGGCAUCAGCAAACAAAUCCAAGGGAAAGACCCACUCUUCUUCGCCGGCGGCAUCUCCAACUCUGGCUCAUUCCGGCUCUGGCAGCAACAUCUCAUUCCCGUUGCUACAAUAGCAUUUCCAACAAGGGUGAAGACUCCUUAAGUAUUUCCAGAGCACCAUUGAACCUUGGAGGUGAUCUAGAAGUG